UAUGUGGUUUAAUUCGAUGCAACGCGAAGAACUUACCUGGUCUUGACAUCCCGGAGACCCUUAGGAAACUAGGGGGUGCUUCCAUCUGGAAGAAUCUGGAGACAGGUGCUGCAUGGCUGUCGUCAGCUCGUGUCGUGAGAUGUUGGGUUAAGUCCCGCAACGAGCGCAACCCUUGCCUUUAGUUGCCAGCAGUUCGGCUGGGCACUCUAAAGGGACUGCCGGUGUUAAACCGGAGGAAGGUGGGGAUGACGUCAAGUCCUCAUGGCCUUUAUGACCAGGGCUACACACGUACUACAAUGGCCGAUACAAAGGGCAGCGACACUGCGAGGUGAAGCCAAUCCCGUAAAAUCGGUCUCAGUCCGGAUUGGAGUCUGCAACUCGACUCCAUGAAGUUGGAAUCGCUAGUAAUCGUGGAUCAGCAUGCCACGGUGAAUACGUUCCCGGGCCUU
rnacentral:rRNA from 1 species